AUUUUAUCCUAUUAUAUUAAUGAAAAUUUGAAUAGCAACACUUUAGAUGACUGGCUGGUGAGAUAAUCUUAUUUUCCUUCAAGUGCUUGUCCUGAGCACAGGAGACAGCUGAUUCCACACAGUCUUGCUGGUUGCCAUUAAGAAUGGAAAUUUCCAAUUAAAGGUAUAUCGUCUUAAGGACCUUUCUGGCAAGCAUAAAAGAGAGGGUUUUAGUGGGAACUUGGUGACUGGUGGUUGCUACCAACACUUGCUACAGUGCCAGAGUCACUGUUCAUCCACAGAGCUGUGGCCACCAGGGGUGGAAUGUACUAACAGCAGCAAGUCCCAGUCCUGUUGUUUUAGGCAUCAAAGGUUCUGGCACGCCCUCAAUGGAAUCACGAUUAACUAUUUGUGCUGUACAGAAGCUGGGUGUGUGCAGGGAAGGAUCUGGCCAGAAACCUGGUCACUAGCCCAGCGAAGAACAUCACUAAGGGGCAACAAAAUGGCUCUGCCCCUCAGCCUGCUUUCAUCUAGGGACAAGCUGGGUGUGCUGUAAAAAUGUUACACUAGUUCUG
rnacentral:lncRNA from 1 species